GUUUGCCAGACAGCCAGUCCAUAGUCUGCAUAGAAGCGAAUUCAUACCUGCUGGACGCCUGGCUCCUUAUUUCACAGACAAAGAAACUGAAGUCUGUCAAACACCUGGAGAGGAAAGAGAUGGAGCAUUCAACCACGCUUCCAGCGUCCAGUGUCCCCAGACGGAAAGUGAGCACCCAGGCUGUGCAGCAGGACGAGUCCCGAGUCCGCGCAUUCGUCCCAGUCCGGGCGCAGAGGAGCACACAGCGGCAAGGGGAUCCUGCGGGUCCCCCAGCACCCUGCGCCCCCUUCCCCUCUUCCUAGUCACAAAACAAGCGGGACAAAACAAGCGAAUCCACACGGUCCCACCGACCCAAAGUUCCCAAACAUGACACCAGCGAUCUCAAUACCCACCUGAAAGCCUGCCCUGCGCCGCGACCUCUCCGAUCCGCCACAG